CACGUAGGGGGCAAGCGUUGUCCGGAUUUACUGAGCGUAAAGAGCUCGUAGGCGGUUCGGCAAGUCGGGUGUGACAACUCCAGGCUCAACCUGGAGAGGUCACUCGAUACUGCCGUGACUAGAGUCCGGUAGGGGAGCGUGGAAUUCCAGGUGUAGCGGUGAAAUGCGUAGAUAUCUGGAGGAACACCGGUGGCGAAGGCGGCAUCCUGGACCGGCAUUGACGCUGAGGAGCGAAAGCCAGGGGAGCAAACGGG
rnacentral:rRNA from 1 species